GCGCGCCUAGCUCAUCGGCAGAGCAUCGAGCUCGCUUCGGCGAGCGCGAAGGCACGGUGGUUCAAUUCCCCGGGCGCGCA
rnacentral:tRNA from 1 species